AGCAGCCAGACCAGAUGGACUCCUUUGAAAUGAAGAUCCUGUCUUCAUGCAAAUGCUGUGAAUGAUAAAAGGACAAGAGGGAAAAGUGGCAGAAAUUACACAAGCAGGAUUGUAUCUAAAUACAGAGCACAAUUACUCCUAGUCCCAUUCCAUGCCUGGAGCAUGGUUAAUAGGAGAGACCCUUAGAAAAUGGAGCCAGAUUGGAAGGAUAAAAAUGCCUGUGCAUUCACUUCAUUCAAAGCUGCAAGUUGCACUGAAAAGGAUGCAUAAUUCUCUGUGCUCUGGGACAUAAUACAGCAAUCCAGGUUACAGGGUCUUCCAUAAAUUGCUCUUUCAUGGUUUAUCAGCCCUGCUGUUUCUAAGAGUGAGACUUAGGGACUACAGUUAUGAAAAUAAACUGCUAUGAACAGCCCUCCAGUAGGUAAAAACUACUAGCAUUUAUCACCAUAAAUGGAAACCCUUUUAGAAACUUGUAAUCACCAUUGUC